CGGCAGUGGCGGGGGCGGGGUUUGUUGAAACGGACGCCGCAGGGUUGGAGGACACGGAAAAGAGCGAAGAUGGCGGAGUGAGACGUUCCGCUGCCAGCCGGCCGUUGGGCCGGGGGCGAUAAAGCCCCCGGACGGUGCAGAGCUUCUGGUGGGUUUGAGGAAGAACAUUUUCUUUGGCUUCCAGGUGCUUUGGUAUUCAUCUUGAGAAGAAAACAAAAUUCUGAACUCAGGAUUCGGCAAAAGGAAAGCAUGCAAGGGGGAGUGGGAGGAGGAGGAAGGAGCAGAGGAAGAGAGAGAGAGACUCCUAAGCGGACUGCACAACCAGCGUGGAGCCCAACAUAAGGCUUCAUUUUAAUGACCCUGAGAUCAUGACUGAGCGAAAUCAAGAGUCAGAUGUCCUAACCAAUUGAUCCACCUAAGGAUUCUCUGUUGUCUCCUGGAGUAGGUAGUCCUCCUUUUAUCCAGCCACUUUCCCUAUUCUUGAAAUGUGGAUCUCUCUUCUCUACACAUUUUUACCUCCAUGAUUUGGAUCAGAAAAGGCUGCUUUUCUUUUUGUUCCACUUCUCAGAUUCAACCUUGAGAAGCUCUUCUAGGAUGCAAUUGUCUUGCUCAGUUCUCCAAGAAGAAAGAAGCAACUGACCUGCUUGUUCUGCUUUUUUGCCUAAUUAUAAAGAAAUUAUUUUGGAAGCUGAAGCUGAUGUUAAAUUUGAAACCGGUGCUUUUAGAUGUUGGUGUUUGUGAAUUCUUUACCUUUUGUUCCAAACAAGAAGACUAAAUAAAUAGCAAGUAUGGAUGACAUCAGGUUUUGUUUUUUUUUUUUUUAAUGUCUUCUAGUUUCAGCUACUGUCAUAAGCACAGUUGAGUCUGCAAGGAGUAAAUUCCAAAUGUGCGUUCUAAUAUGAAAUGAAAGAGAUGGUUAAAAACUACAGAUAUUAAAUAUCUAAAUCUUGACUCAUCCUGUGAAGUACAUUUGCUGGAAAAGAACAAAGGUCCAAUUUUGCAUUAAAACCUUUGAUGUGACAAAGAAGCAUAAAGACAAGAUAAUGUGAGGUUAACAGAAUCUCUGUAAAAUACACAUCUUUACAUGUGUAAAUCUGCAUUUUGGACAAGAAGAGGGAUUUUUCUCCUAGAGAAGGAAGUUGUUGUUGGCUUCUAUCUCAGAAGUCUUUGGACAUUUUAAAAUGAUUUUUCAUUUUCCUAAGGAAGGAUCACAUUGUACAUUUGCUAACUCUAUGAAUGCAUGCUUGGGUUUACUGAAAGGUUGGAAAAGGGAAACAAAACAGCUAGUUUCAAGUCCAGUUGGAACCCUGUUCACCUCCCUCAGAUGAGAGAGGCUGCUAUAUUGCAAAUAACUUCAUUCUUUUUUUGGACUCUUACAUGUACUUGAUACUUGGUUUUCCAUGCUGCGAAGGCAGGAACAAAUGUGGCUUAAGUGGUUUUUCUGUCCAGAAAAUAUGGCAGAUCCUCUAGUAUGACCUGCCUUCAACUUUGGGCAUGGAAGAAGGGGAGGGGAGUUUCCAGUGAAAAAGAAGCAAAAAUGCCUUAUGCAGCUCGAUCUGACUUCAUGGCAUUUUAUAUUCUGUAGCUCCAGUUUUCUAAAAACUAACGUUUUUCAUUUGACCCAAGAUGGGUACUUGGAUGUUUGGUUUAUUUUUCCAAGUGAGGUGUAAUGUUAGACUAUAAAGGCUGGGACUCAGGUAACUUUCCCCAUUGGAACUGAACUUUCUCAUCAAAGAGUGGACUUCAUUCGCAAUGUUCCCAAAUUUGUAGUUGAUUUAGAAGAAAUUCAGGGUCUAGAAAAAAACCUCGAACAAGAAAAAUAGUUCAAUAAAAUGUGGAUUUUCUUUCUUCCCCUUAAAACCUACACCAUGUGAUGAACAGACUAUAGUGUAAAGCUAUUCUUGCUUCCAAAUCAACAGAGGACCAGAGUAUAUGCAUUGUCAGUUCUUUACAUAAAAGGAAAGAAACUUUGAGUCUUUGUGAGAAUGAAUUUGAAACUUCUUAGGUGUAAUUAAGAACAAAUUAUCUUAGAUCAUAUCUGUGAUUUAGGGAAUUUGCCUAGGGUCAUACAUGAUGUGAUGCUAAAAACUUAGGGCAGAUUUACCAAAAUUUAGAAGUGAUAAAAAUAGCCCAAAAUGGAAAUUGUUGAGCACUCUUAAUGAUUGGUUAAAUUGGUCAACCUAUUUGAAUGGACAUAAAGCUUUUUAGUAAAAUAAUUAUAUAAUAUAGAUAUAAUUGCCUUUGAGGGCAAAUACUGAGUCAUAAAGCAUAGAAGUAACUGGAUAAAGGUAACUUAAAUUUUUCUCUAAGUAACUUCUCUGCCAACUUCCUGAUACUUUCUUUUACUGUUUUAGAAUUUGUUAAAGAUAGAAAGGAACAUGAGUCCUAUUGGUAGGUUGAGAAUUUAUAUUCUCAAUUGUCUUUUACCCAUCUUCCUCAUAUCCCUUUUGCAGUGUUUUUGGGUAGGAUCAUUUGGCAGGGAAUAGGGACUUCAUACUGUCAGUACCAGUGAAACCAUCUCUGGCCCAUUUGUUUGAAUAUGUAUCAGACUCAUCUUCUCCAGUUGCUUUUUAUUUUUUAUUUCAUAGCUAUAAUAACCGCUGUUGAAUUCUCUCAUUGAAGUUGUUCUUUGUAUCUUUAAUGGCUGUCACCAGAUAGUAUCUAACAAAAUGUGUAUACGCCAGGGUGUACUAACCCAGUGUUUACUUAAUACGCCUACAUUUUUCCCCCUCGUCUAUUUUGUCCCCUUCUUGAUGAGAAAAGCUAUAAUUUUAGGCAGGACUACACCUCAAUCAGUAGCUGUGCCUACUUCCUUCUCUUUGCUCAUCUAUGUCAGCUGGCAGUUUUUCUUUUAAAAAGUUAAAUAAAAACGGGAUAUGUGCAAUAGAAAUAUAUAUAUGUAUAUUUUAAUACUUGUGGACAAAUGUUACAAGUUGUUUAAGAACAACAAAAUCACCAAUGUCUUCCAUUUUGAGAUGUGUAUAGUUUUGUAAGCAUUAGUGCUUGGUAGCAUAUUGUAGUGCCAUGUUAGGGAUUAGUUAGUGCAUGAGCCUAGUAAUAAUUUAAACUUCAGGAUGAAUUAUUGAUAAUAACCAAUAGUGUAAAAUGAGUGGAAAUUGAGACUUUUUCUUUUUUCAUAAAUAUCUGAAUCGUUAUACUCUCCCUGGGGAAAGGAGAUUAAGGCCAAAAAGACUCAUUUAUGAAUAGAACUGUAGGAUCACAGUGUGAGAUAUUGUGUUUGAGGAUAAGCUUUCUCUGAGGUAGCUGGAAACCAGCUGCCUUCGUGUCUUAUGAAACCUCAAAUCGAAAUGAGGCCCCAUUUCAUGAUUCUGCUUGCUCUCUUAGUUUGAAUUAUUGUUUUUUAUGCUAUUUUCACAUUGUGUGUCUUGUAGGUUUAUCAUUUAAUACACUCCUUUUGCAUCAAGAAAUUAUUUUUUAUUUUGCAUGUCUUAAUGAGAUGCUAUGUUAGUCUAGUCGAGUAUUAUUUUUCUAUCCGCAGACCAUUUAUGUUUCCUAUUUGCAGCAUGCUAAUUGUUAAGGAAGAACACUGAUCAGUAGUUCUGUGUACUAUAUUAAUUUGUCACAGGCUUUUCCUAUUUCAUGAUCUGAAUUGUGUGUUGAUGGGAUUCCAGACCUUUUCACGAGAAUUGGAAUGUAGCUAGAUGGAGCCGAUGCAGGUUGGAAUGUAGCUAGAUGGAGCCGAUGCAGGUUAUUAUGUAAUAACUAUCUAUUUUGCUUGGUUAUAGUAAGCCACUUCAGCGCUCACUUUUUUCUUUGUAGACAUAAAAGUUGUUUUGUUCUGAAAGCAUAAGAUAGCUUUCUGUGGAAAAGAAAUUCCUACCUCUAAAAGCUGCCUUGAGAACUUGAAACGGGCAGUUUUCUGAGGUGAUUUUUAAAUCUCAGUAUUAGGAGAGUUCAGGAUUUAUUGAAAGAGAUUGUAUAGUUACUAUGAUAUGAAAUGCAAAACUAAUGUGGUAUGUCUCCUGUACAGAAGCAAGCUUAAACAAAUAGACUCUGCAGCAGCAGAUAUCCAGGGACCCAGGUUUAGAUUUUUCAUAGUGUACUUAAAGUAGUUGUACUCUUGGCUCAAGUAGUUUAGUGCCUGGGAGAAUCCAUUUCCAAAAAGCAUUUAAACAUUUAAAAAAAUACCUCUGAAAAGAUAAUGAAUGCAAAAUAGCACAGUAUAUAGGAAAAGAUAUUUCCUAUUGCAAAAAAUAAAUAAAAGCCAUAAAAUAAUUUUCAAGAGGUAGAAUUUUAGUAGCAAUAACAGUUUUGCAUAUAUAGUACAUUGUAUUAGCAAAGUUGUACAGUAGAAUAAAUAUUACUACUUGAGUUUGGUGAAGCUCUCUGAUGUGACCAACGAGUUGCACAAAAGGAAGAAGAUGUUUUAGGCAAAGAACAUAAAAGGUACUUUUAAAACUGAAUGUAUGUGAAUAUAUCAUUGUGUGAGAAAUAGCAACUUUUGUGUAAGUUUAAAGGUUAGAUACCCUAUUUGUUUCCUAUAGCAGAAGGUUAGAGCCAUUGAAUGAAAUUUUUCUAGUGGUUAACCUGGAAACAAAUGUACUCCUACUGAUAUAGCCCCACUGAAGCUAUCAUGUGGGGAUUUUGCUUAUGAUACUCUUUUCAGCAAUAGGCAUUUACAGAGUAGCACACUCUGUCACCUUUUCUUUUCUCCUUUAGUUUUUUUUUUUUUUUCCUGGGUGCAUUUUAAAAAGUUUGUUGUGUGUGUAUGUUUGGGUUGAAAACAAACCAAGAACUUGAAUAGCUGGCUUUUCCUUAUGCCUGUGGUUAGUUUAGGGGAGUUAGAAUUUAAAGAUGUAAAGCAAAGGAUUGAAGGGAAUAGCCAAAGACAGUAUGUUGAUUUUUUUUAAACCUUGCCUCAUGUAGCUAUGCUGAGGAUUUUGGUCUCUGACUCUUUAUUUUAAUAAGAGCCCAGCAAACUAGUUUCUUGAUCUGAGGAAUCACACACCUCACAUCAGGAUGUAGUAGUAGAAUGGAAGCUGACUUCUUGCUCCCUUUUACCUUGUGUUCAUUUUGGCUAUUUAGCACCUUGAAAGGUCCCUGAAAAGAUUGGGUCUAUAUUCCCUUGUUUUUCAAGGGUAAAAACUAAAAAUGGUGUGGAUUUAAGAAAAUAGUGCCUCUUGAAUAGUUAAUUCUUAUAUGUCAGCUCCAGAGGAUAGGGAGAAGGCUAUGAAAUUGAUUAUAGCUCCUCUUUAAAUGUCCUACGCCAUCAGUUGGUGUUAGAGACAUUGGAAUAACCAAGCAAUAUUCAGUCAUCUGCAAGAUCAUGAGGACACCGCUGUGUAUUAUAGUGAUGUCAACAAUUUAGUUACUUAAAACAAAGACUACCCUUAACAGCCACGUUAACAGUUGUAAAUGUUAAAAUGUGCUACAAGUUUUUGUAGUCUCUAAGUACGUGGUUAUUAUUUUUCAAUGUUGUUGUCUCAUGUUUACUUUUUGUGUACCUGUGAUAUGCAAAAGAUGAAGAGACCCUUGGCCUCCAGGAGUUUACAUUCUCAUGGUGCUGCUGGUGCAAGCAAAUUACUUCUAGUUUAUUCAGAACAUUGCCUGGCUAUUAACCAUAUGCUAUGUGGAAGAAUCCCUUGGCCAAUAGUUUUCAAAAGCAGAAGUCUAUGCGAAAUUUCAGGGCAUUGAUUUUGAGUUUACAUUAUAUUAGCUGUGCUGUUCAUAAACUCCUUUUCCCCGGGGGCUGUGCAGAUAAAGGUCAUUAAUGUGAAUCACAAACCAUUCUGCCUAAGAGCAUCUUCACCAUCCCUGUGCCACCUAUGCUCUUCUAUGCUAUAGCUGUCAAUAAAUGGCCAAGAAAACUUACUGCUCCAAAACGCUGUACAUCUCUCAAUUUUCUCUUUCCCAGAGUUUUUACAUCACUUUCUACCCAAAAGGGCCAGGAUUUGCAAUUAAGCCUUUUGGUACUGAUUUUAACCUCUUUAUGUGUGACUUUUGUACGUCUAUUCUGAAGCAGCAUUGUGAUAUGGAGCACCUGCCCUGCCUGCAUUUCUAAGCAAUCACUUUAUUAACCAACAUUUUCAGUUGAAACUUUGCAUGUAUACUUGUUAUUUCCCCUAAUUCCUCUGAAUCAAGGGGUCUUUUCUGCAUGUUUAUUAAAACUGGGUCUGAAUGCAAGCAAUAGUGGCAGGCCCAGACGUCUUGAUUUUAGAGUACUAAUAUUCUAAUGCAUGAUUGAAAAUGUCCAGUGUUAUGUGGUGACUAGUAGAUACAUACACAUAUACAUACAUAUAUAUACAUAUGUAUAUAUGUGUAUACAUAUAUAUGUAUGUAUGUACAUACGUAUAUACAUAUAUAUGUAUAUAUACACGUUUAUUAAUGAAGCAAUAGAGACUUAAACCAAUAGCCUGAAUUUACUGUUUGGAUUAUUAGUUUUCAUUUUCUAAUUAAAGAUUAUCUUAACUUCCAUUGAAAUGGGAGCUAGAAGAUAAAAGGGGCAACCACAAGACAUUCAAACUGUCAGGAAUAGAGAACAUGACAGUGCUCACCCUCUAACCUCUUGCCUGGUUCCCUUAUUCCCCUAGCAUGUUUAAAAACAAAACAAAGGCACAAACUAAGCAUGUUGAAUAAAUAAAUAAGCUGCUAUGGCUAUAAUAAUCAGAAAGGUGCAGAGUUUCAGAAGAGGUAGGAAAGUAGGGAAUUACCAGUGAAGAGUAUAUAAAUAACUAAGUAUGGGGUUUGUCUGAUAAAAUUUAUGUGGCUUGUUUGGAUCUCUUAAAACUAGUGUCUUGGAAAUGAAUGGAAACAAUAUGGACAUUAUUUCUGAUAUUCCAGGAUUUUCAGAUAACCAGCCAACUCUUCUGGAUGGUACUGGUACUGACCAGCCAUAAAGUUCGUUCCCCGCAGCAAAGGAGACUGCAUUAUUUUGUGGAAACUGCUAAAAAUACAAGCCUAGUUUGGAUUCUCUUUUGUUACUGUAUCAUAUAAAUGUUUUGUGUUUUUAAAUCUUAUAGCCAGGGCUUUAUCCAUGGUAUUUUGCUCAGACUGUGUAAUUUGUUGCCUAAAGCUUUUAAUGCCAGGUAAACAGAAGCAGGUUUUCCCAUUUUGAAAAAAAUGCCAUUUAUUUUACUUGAUGAAGAAAAUAGAUCAGUUUAUUGUAGUAGCUUAAAAUUUUUGAGAAGAUUCCUGACUUUGAAAUAACCCUUUUAAGUACAAAUGAUCAUGACAAAUAGUGUACAAAUGGAAUUCCUACAUGAGUGGCCUAUACAGAAGAGAAUUCAGAGUUAGACUAGAUGAUUCUCACUAGGCCCCUCCCAGGUUUUAUGUUACAUAAUUGAAAAAUAAUUUUUUUUUGAGAGACACAAACAAAGGCAGAGGGAGAAGCAGGCUCCCCACGGGGAGCCUGAUGAGGGACUUGAUGCCAGAACUCCGGGAUCACACCCUGAGCCACCCAGGCGUCCCGAAAAAUAAAUUUUUAAAAGUCAUUUUAACUUGUUUUCUUUGCUGUAGGAUUUCACUCCAAACACCUUUGGGAUUGUUUUAAGUGUAAAUGGUAACUUUCCAGUAGUUCAGAACUGAAGUAGACUUCCAGUCAUUGCAGUGUUAGACUCCACUUAAGUACAGGAAGUAAAAUACUAUAUCUCAUAUGUACAUUUUCUCUGCCACGUACUGAUUACAUCCGUCAACUAAUGAAACCAGUAAAGAUAGAAUAAGAGUUUCUCUCUGUUCCCAUUAUUCCACAAAAGCAUAUAGUUUAAAUACCAAACAAACAUCACAGAUUUCUCUAGGAAUUUUUACUUCUCAACCUCCUUUAAAAUCAAAAGAAUUAUAAGAUUACUGACAAUUUUCAAAAGGUUUUAUCUCCUUUGGUGAUAGUUUGCCAUGCCAUCAAUUUUCCUCUUUCCAGGGGUAAGAAUGGUAUUCUGAGUAAUACAUUAUCACCAGUCCUUAACAGUGAUAGUCUUGGCACUUACCUUAAAACCACCCAUCGAGGGGAAAAAAAAAAAAAAAAA